GGUUUCAGAAGAGUUGAGAUGACAAACUGUUAAAGUAGUACCUUAAAGCAAAUAAGUUCAAAGAGGUGUAGCUCCAAGAAAAAAAAUUGAAUCGCAAUUUCCCGUCGAUAUGCACAACUACAUAGUAUGUCCUUAUUAUCUGAAAAGGUUUCGUGAAAUUCUGUUGUGUGGUUUGAGAGGAGUUGCGAUGACAAACUGUUGCAGUAGUACAUUAAAGUAAAUAAGUUCAAAGGGGCGUAACUCCUAGAAAAAAAAAUUGAAUCGCAAUUUCCCGUCGAUAUGCACAACUACAUAGUAUGUCCUUAUUAUCUGAAAAGAUUUCGUGAAAUUCUGUAGUGUGGUUUGAGAGGAGUUGCGAUGACAAACUGUUGCAGUAGUACAUUAAAGUAAAUAAGUUCAAAGGGGCGUAACUCCUAGAAAAAAAAUUGAAUCGCAAUUUCCCGUCGAUAUGCACAACUACAUAGUAUGUCCUUAUUAUCUGAAAAGGUUUCGUGAAAUUCUGUUGUGUGGUUUGAGAGGAGUUGCGAUGACAAACUGUUGCAGUAGUACAUUAAAGUAAAUAAGUUCAAAGAGGCGUAACUCCUAGAAAAAAAAUUGAAUCGCAAUUUCCCGUCGAUAUGCACAACUACAUAGUAUGUCCUUAUUAUCUGAAAAGGUUUCGUGAAAUUCUGUUGUGUGGUUUCAGAGGAGUUGCGAUGACAAACUGUUGCAGUAGUACAUUAAAGUAAAUAAGUUCAAAGGGGCGUAACUCCUAGAAAAAAAAUUGAAUCGCAAUUUCCCGUCGAUAUGCACAACUUCAUAGUAUGUCCUUAUUAUCUGAAAAGAUUUCGUGAAAUUCUGUUGUGUGGUUUGAGAGGAGUUGCGAUGACAAACUGUUGCAGUAGUACAUUAAAGUAAAUAAGUUCAAAGGGGCGUAACUCCUAGAAAAAAAAUUGAAUCGCAAUUUCCCGUCGAUAUGCACAACUACAUAGUAUGUCCUUAUUAUCUGAAAAGGUUUCGUGAAAUUCUGUUGUGUGGUUUGAGAGGAGUUGCGAUGACAAGAAACAGGACUGACGGACUGACGGACGGACGGACUGACGGACGGACGGACUGACGGACGGACGGGCGGGUCAAAAACAUUAUACCCUCCGCAACUUCGUUGCGUGGGGUAUAAUAAAAACUCACAAAGAGACACAAA
rnacentral:lncRNA from 1 species